UACAGAGGGGGCAAGCGUUGUUCGGAAUUACUGGGCGUAAAGGGCGCGUAGGCGGCCUUCUAAGUCGAACGUGAAAUCCCCGGGCUCAACCCGGGAACUGCGUCCGAUACUGGAAGGCUUGAAUCCGGGAGAGGGAUGCGGAAUUCCAGGUGUAGCGGUGAAAUGCGUAGAUAUCUGGAGGAACACCGGUGGCGAAGGCGGCAUCCUGGACCGGUAUUGACGCGUGAGGCGCGAAAGCCAGGGGAGCAAAGCGGG
rnacentral:rRNA from 1 species